AUACGUAGGGGGCGAGCGUUGUCCGGAAUGAUUGGGCGUAAAGGGCGCGUAGGCGGCGCGGUAAGUCUGGAGUGAAAGUCCUGCUUUCAAGGUGGGAAUUGCUUUGGAUACUGCCGCGCUUGAGUGCAGGAGAGGUUAUCGGAAUUCCCGGUGUAGCGGUGAAAUGCGUAGAGAUCGGGAGGAACACCAGUGGCGAAGGCGGGUACUGGACUGCAACUGACGCUGAGGCGCGAAAGUGUGGGGAGCAAACAGGAUUAGAUACCCUGGUAGUCCACACCGUAAACGAUGAAUGCUAGGUGUAAGAGGUAUCGACCCCUUCUGUGCCGCAGUCAACACAAUAAGCAUUCCGCCUGGGGAGUACGGCCGCAAGGUUGAAACUUAAAUGAAUUGACGGGG
rnacentral:rRNA from 1 species